rnacentral:rRNA from 1 species
UAAGCGACUAAGCGUACACGGUGGAUGCCCUGGCAGUCAGAGGCGAUGAAGGACGUGCUAAUCUGCGAUAAGCGUCGGUAAGGUGAUAUGAACCGUUAUAACCGGCGAUUUCCGAAUGGGGAAACCCAGUGUGAUUCGUCACACUAUCAUUAACUGAAUCCAUAGGUUAAUGAGGCGAACCGGGGGAACUGAAACAUCUAAGUACCCCGAGGAAAAGAAAUCAACCGAGAUUCCCCCAGUAGCGGCGAGCGAACGGGGAGCAGCCCAGAGCCUGAAUCAGUGUGUGUGUUAGUGGAAGCGUCUGGAAAGGCGUGCGAUACAGGGUGACAGCCCCGUACACAAAAUGCACAUAUUGUGAGCUCGAUGAGUAGGGCGGGACACGUGGUAUCCUGUCUGAAUAUGGGGGGACCAUCCUCCAAGGCUAAAUACUCCUGACUGACCGAUAGUGAACCAGUACCGUGAGGGAAAGGCGAAAAGAACCCCGGCGAGGGGAGUGAAAAAGAACCUGAAACCGUGUACGUACAAGCAGUGGGAGCACGCUUCGGCGUGUGACUGCGUACCUUUUGUAUAAUGGGUCAGCGACUUAUAUUCUGUAGCAAGGUUAACCGAAUAGGGGAGCCGAAGGGAAACCGAGUCUUAACUGGGCGUUAAGUUGCAGGGUAUAGACCCGAAACCCGGUGAUCUAGCCAUGGGCAGGUUGAAGGUUGGGUAACACUAACUGGAGGACCGAACCGACUAAUGUUGAAAAAUUAGCGGAUGACUUGUGGCUGGGGGUGAAAGGCCAAUCAAACCGGGAGAUAGCUGGUUCUCCCCGAAAGCUAUUUAGGUAGCGCCUCGUGAAUUCAUCUCCGGGGGUAGAGCACUGUUUCGGCAAGGGGGUCAUCCCGACUUACCAACCCGAUGCAAACUGCGAAUACCGGAGAAUGUUAUCACGGGAGACACACGGCGGGUGCUAACGUCCGUCGUGAAGAGGGAAACAACCCAGACCGCCAGCUAAGGUCCCAAAGUCAUGGUUAAGUGGGAAACGAUGUGGGAAGGCCCAGACAGCCAGGAUGUUGGCUUAGAAGCAGCCAUCAUUUAAAGAAAGCGUAAUAGCUCACUGGUCGAGUCGGCCUGCGCGGAAGAUGUAACGGGGCUAAACCAUGCACCGAAGCUGCGGCAGCGACACUAUGUGUUGUUGGGUAGGGGAGCGUUCUGUAAGCCUGUGAAGGUGUACUGUGAGGUAUGCUGGAGGUAUCAGAAGUGCGAAUGCUGACAUAAGUAACGAUAAAGCGGGUGAAAAGCCCGCUCGCCGGAAGACCAAGGGUUCCUGUCCAACGUUAAUCGGGGCAGGGUGAGUCGACUCCUAAGGCGAGGCCGAAAGGCGUAGUCGAUGGGAAACAGGUUAAUAUUCCUGUACUUGGUGUUACUGCGAAGGGGGGACGGAGAAGGCUAUGUUGGCCGGGCGACGGUUGUCCCGGUUUAAGCGUGUAGGCUGGUUUUCCAGGCAAAUCCGGAAAACUAAGGCUGAGGCGUGAUGACGAGGCACUACGGUGCUGAAGCAACAAAUGCCCUGCUUCCAGGAAAAGCCUCUAAGCAUCAGGUAACAUCAAAUCGUACCCCAAACCGACACAGGUGGUCAGGUAGAGAAUACCAAGGCGCUUGAGAGAACUCGGGUGAAGGAACUAGGCAAAAUGGUGCCGUAACUUCGGGAGAAGGCACGCUGAUAUGUAGGUGAAGUCCCUCGCGGAUGGAGCUGAAAUCAGUCGAAGAUACCAGCUGGCUGCAACUGUUUAUUAAAAACACAGCACUGUGCAAACACGAAAGUGGACGUAUACGGUGUGACGCCUGCCCGGUGCCGGAAGGUUAAUUGAUGGGGUCAGCGCAAGCGAAGCUCUUGAUCGAAGCCCCGGUAAACGGCGGCCGUAACUAUAACGGUCCUAAGGUAGCGAAAUUCCUUGUCGGGUAAGUUCCGACCUGCACGAAUGGCGUAAUGAUGGCCAGGCUGUCUCCACCCGAGACUCAGUGAAAUUGAACUCGCUGUGAAGAUGCAGUGUACCCGCGGCAAGACGGAAAGACCCCGUGAACCUUUACUAUAGCUUGACACUGAACAUUGAGCCUUGAUGUGUAGGAUAGGUGGGAGGCUUUGAAGUGUGGACGCCAGUCUGCAUGGAGCCGACCUUGAAAUACCACCCUUUAAUGUUUGAUGUUCUAACGUUGACCCGUAAUCCGGGUUGCGGACAGUGUCUGGUGGGUAGUUUGACUGGGGCGGUCUCCUCCUAAAGAGUAACGGAGGAGCACGAAGGUUGGCUAAUCCUGGUCGGACAUCAGGAGGUUAGUGCAAUGGCAUAAGCCAGCUUGACUGCGAGCGUGACGGCGCGAGCAGGUGCGAAAGCAGGUCAUAGUGAUCCGGUGGUUCUGAAUGGAAGGGCCAUCGCUCAACGGAUAAAAGGUACUCCGGGGAUAACAGGCUGAUACCGCCCAAGAGUUCAUAUCGACGGCGGUGUUUGGCACCUCGAUGUCGGCUCAUCACAUCCUGGGGCUGAAGUAGGUCCCAAGGGUAUGGCUGUUCGCCAUUUAAAGUGGUACGCGAGCUGGGUUUAGAACGUCGUGAGACAGUUCGGUCCCUAUCUGCCGUGGGCGCUGGAGAACUGAGGGGGGCUGCUCCUAGUACGAGAGGACCGGAGUGGACGCAUCACUGGUGUUCGGGUUGUCAUGCCAAUGGCACUGCCCGGUAGCUAAAUGCGGAAGAGAUAAGUGCUGAAAGCAUCUAAGCACGAAACUUGCCCCGAGAUGAGUUCUCCCUGACUCCUUGAGAGUCCUGAAGGAACGUUGAAGACGACGACGUUGAUAGGCCGGGUGUGUAAGCGCAGCGAUGCGUUGAGCUAACCGGUACUAAUGAACCGUGAGGCUUAACCU